GAGGUUGAUCAAGUUGUUUGUUGUUGGUCGAUAAUAGCCGACUAUCGGUCGGUUGAUCCGACUAUGAAUCGGUGUAGCAUGCUUGUAUGACCGAUGUAGAGUCAGAGUCAGGGAUCGACUGACUUAUUCCAACAUACUCAAUUAAAAAAUUAUUUUAAUUGAAUAUCAUAUGUCUAAAUUAUAAUCUCCAAAAAUUCAGUUUGGGACUCAACUCCUCGAUUAGCUAGUUUUUCAUGAGCUCCUCCUCUCACUUUGUCCAAUGCACAAGAAUAUGUU
rnacentral:lncRNA from 1 species